UACGGAGGGGGCCAGCGUUGUUCGGAAUUAUUGGGCGUAAAGGGUGCGUAGGCGGUGGGGUAAGUUGGAUGUGAAAUCUUGGGGCUUAACCUCAAAAUUGCAUUCAAUACUGCUCCGCUCGAGUUCUGUAGAGGAGAUUGGAAUUUACGGUGUAGCAGUGAAAUGCGUAGAUAUCGUAAGGAACGCCAGUGGCGAAAGCGAAUCUCUGGGCAGCAACUGACGCUGAGGCACGAAGGCCAGGGGAGCAAACGGG
rnacentral:rRNA from 1 species